rnacentral:rRNA from 1 species
CAUGCAAGUCGAGCGGGGGAGAUUGCUUCGGURAUUGACCUAGCGGCGGACGGGUGAGUAAUACUUAGGAAUCUGCCUAUUAAUGGGGGACAACAUCUCGAAAGGGAUGCUAAUACCGCAUACGCCCUACGGGGGAAAGCAGGGGAUCACUUGUGACCUUGCGUUAAUAGAUGAGCCUAAGUCGGAUUAGCUAGUUGGUGGGGUAAAGGCCUACCAAGGCGACGAUCUGUAGCGGGUCUGAGAGGAUGAUCCGCCACACUGGGACUGAGACACGGCCCAGACUCCUACGGGAGGCAGCAGUGGGGAAUAUUGGACAAUGGGGGGAACCCUGAUCCAGCCAUGCCGCGUGUGUGAAGAAGGCCUUAUGGUUGUAAAGCACUUUAAGCGAGGAGGAGGCUCCUGUAGUUAAUACCUACAGUGAGUGGACGUUACUCGCAGWAUAAGCACCGGCUAA